UUUCCUACUUGGCUUCACUUCUCCAACUAUUCCUUUUAGAUUUGGAUGUGAGUGAGACAAUACCAGCCUCAAGACAGCACCAUAAUCACACAAUAACAUACGCUUACAACCUACCACCACCUCUGAGAGAACCUACACGUGGGCUUUGGGGCCCACGACAAGGACUGAACACAACCCCACCUCUGUAACACAACACAAAAAGCCCAUCCCCAUCUUGGAGCCCAUCCUUAUCUGAAGGAUA
rnacentral:lncRNA from 1 species